CAAACAACAUCCUGCGGAGCUACGAACACUGGGAGAGUGCUGACAGACUGGCUGCUGACAGCCAAGAGUUCUUCCAGGAGUUGGACUCUGUGAUGGGGCCGUUGAGUCAGCAAAGCAGCAUGACUGAGUUGGUGCGCUACAUCGGGCAGGGACUGCACUGGCUCCGCAUCGAGGCUCACCUGCUGUAGAGACGGGACCAGAGCCCAACUAAAAAACAAACAAAAGAAAAAAACAUUUAAAAAAAAAAAACAUAUAAAAGGAUCCUAGGAGCUAGAACUGGGAGACCAAGAAGAAAACUUCACUCCUCACUGGAAUUCCUCAAAUGAUCUGACAGCACAAGGAGUUAUUAAGAGUAAUUAUUGGAGCGAAAACUGACUUUGAGUUAGGAAUGAACAACAAAGACUUGGGAAUUUCAACUGGGUAUCAGACGACAUGAAUUAGCAGUUUGGCAGACGCUGCCACGUGAAGUGAUUUGGAGAGAUCGCGUCAGUUGAAAUAUUUUAAAUUCCUGAAGGGAUGACAGAUGUUGUAAACCUCCCUGGGCACAAAUCAAACCAGAAACAGAAGGUUAAAAC